rnacentral:tRNA from 1 species
AGUCACGUGGUCUAAAGGCUAUGACAUCUCGUUUACAGUAAUGCGCUCAUGUAAGUGCCGAGAAGGUUCCGUGUUCGAUCCACGGCGUGACUA